rnacentral:misc_RNA from 1 species
AAAAAAAAGAAGACUAUACAAGCACAAAAAAUUCAAAUGACAAACAAUAAUGAUGUUAUUAUAAAAAUGAUCUCAAAUUUUGCAUCAUCCAUAUGUUAAUCAAGAAAACGUAAACAUAUGCAAACAUUUCAUGUGUGUUUGAAUAACUUUGUUGAGAAUAAAGGACCCAAGAGUGUGAAUUAUCAAACUACUAGGACUACGAGCUGGACUGGGCUUAAAAUUGGGCUCCCUAUCACCAAAAUGGCCUAAGCCUUUUUGGUUUGGUUUAUCAACACUAAAAAUGCCCUUUAAUUUCUUAUGCAAUCGGGUUUAACUCAAGCCCACAGGGGUUGAGAGGCCUGGUUGUCACUUGCCAUUGCAUGGAGUGGCCAUCUAACGGGGGUCUGACUCCUCAUUCCUGUUGGCGCUGCCCUCAAGGUCUAGCUUGAUAGGUUAGCCAUGGAUCCACCUAAGUCUAGCUUGUUAGGGCUUAGUCUAUCAUGCUUUCAAGUCCCGGAUCUAUAGCCACUGGGCAUUAAUGCUUUGAUAUCAUGUUGAGAAUUAAGGACCCAAGACUGUGAAUCAUCAAACUGGCAAGCCUACAAGCUUAACUGGGCUCCCCAUCACCAAAAUGGCAUAAGUCUUUUUUGUUUGAUUUGCAAACACUUAUAUGCCCUUUAAUUAUCUUGUACACAACCAAUAAGGGACUUGUUCUUACAAGUCAUAUUCUAGCAAAUUGAAACUACAAAUUAAAUUUGAAUAUAUCUUUUUAGAUAAAUGAGUUAUAAAAGCAAUGUAUUAGCAAUUUUUUCCCUUUAGUCAUAGUAGCAGAUGACUUGAACAUGAGAUGGGAGAAGUUAAGUUAGAGGAAGCCUUACCAACCUUAGCAACAAACCCCACUCCCCACAUAUAGGACUAUAACAACUAGUGCAAAUAUAUUAUUUACAUUAACUAAACCAAUAUGUUGCAUCUCACUACAUAAUUCCACCAAUAAACAAUUUUUUUGUUGGCCAACAAGAAAAAUUAUCAUCCAAGGAAAAAUAUGUUAACAUAGCUCCAUAAGUUGCAAAAGAAAGUAGAUAAAGAUAUAAAUUUAUAGGAACAAUGUAGGAUUAAAACCAACAUUAGGAGAAGAGCCACUACUAGCCAAAUCUUUUGCCCAUCUAUAAAAAAACUACACCUCAACACGUAUUUAAUAAUUUAAUUCAAAAGAAUGCCAUGAUACAUCAAUGACCUAACAAACAAAGUAAUAUCUCAUCUAUCAAUCAAACUGUCUGUUGAGUUUUUAGAAAGAAAGAAGAAAAGGGAGAGAAAAAGAGAGAAUUGGAAUAAACCUCAAAGGAUUACAUUUUCAUUUACUUGUACUUGGCAUAAUACAUAAGAGUCCAUAUUUAUAAUGGAAGAUACACGAUAUAUAUGGAAUGCUAUCAAUCAUAAAUUACUCCAAAGAUUUUGCUAAUCAAUCUCAUGAUUUUCCCAUAAAAAUAAAAUCAUGAGAUUUUUUAAUGAGACAUAUCCCAUGCAUUAAGAAAAAAUCGUGUCAAUUCCAACAAUACCCCCUUAAUGAGAUUUUUGCUAAAGUCGUAGAUUCAUCAUCAAGCUCUUUUAUUUUACAUUUUUUUUUUUUAAUCUUUCCUUGCUUUCCCUUUUUUCUUUGGAAAUCUGAUACUCCUUUUUUAAUUCUCUUUUAUCUCUUUAAAUCUAUCUCCUUUUUUUUUUUUUUU